CAAGCGUUACUCGGAAUUACUGGGCGUAAAGCGUGCGUAGGUGGUUUGUUAAGUCUGCUGUGAAAGCCCCGGGCUCAACCUGGGAAUGGCAGUGGAUACUGGCAAGCUAGAGUGCGGUAGAGGGUAGUGGAAUUCCCGGUGUAGCGGUGAAAUGCGUAGAGAUCGGGAGGAACACCAGUGGCGAAGGCGGCUACCUGGACCAGCACUGACACUGAGGCACGAAAGCGUGGGGAGCAAACAGG
rnacentral:rRNA from 1 species